GGUAUGUACUAGCUUGCUGAUUCCUCCUUCUUGUAGAACCGUAAUGCCAUUAAUUUGGUGUUGCGGGGAAACAGGACUGUUACUUUGAAAAAAUUAGAGUGUUUAAAGCAGGCUAGCGCCUGAAUACAUUAGCAUGGAAUAAUGAAAUAGGACGUUCGAACCUAUUUUGUUGGUUUCUAGGAUUGACGUAAUGAUUAAUAGGGGUAGUUGGGGGCAUUAGUAUUCAAUCGUCAGAGGUGAAAUUCUUGGAUUUAUUGAAGACUGACUACUGCGAAAGCAUUUGCCAAGGAUGUUUUCAUUAAUCAAGAACGAAAGUUAGGGGAUCGAAGACGAUCAGAUACCGUCGUAGUCUUAACCAUAAACUAUGCCGACUAGGGAUCGGAUGAUGUUAAUUUUUUAAUGACUCAUUCGGCGCCUUACG
rnacentral:rRNA from 1 species